CACUAGGGGGCUCUAUAGUUUCCUUUGGAAGGGAUUAGUAGAAGGAACGGCAAACCGGAAGUAGCUUCCGGUGUCGUUAGCUUUACCAAGAAAGCAAAAUUCAUCAAUAAAACCUACAGAUGACCAUACCUUAAUUAUUGCCCAACGUGGUAAGUCUAUGUUACAUGUUGUAAGCAAACGGGAGAUAUGUUUUGCUCUAUAUUUAGGUUUUGGCCGAAAAAGGUUUAGUGCUAACAAAGAUGCUAGCGGGUAGCCGCUAAUUAGCGAUAUGCUAACGCUAUUUACUGCAUGUUCAACGUUGAUGUCUGUUAUGAUGAGAGAUGUUUUAAGAGUGAAAUCUAUGCAUCUUAUUCAAAGCUUAUGUUUAUGUCUUGUUUUAUUUAGGUUGUUUUAAUUUGAAUUACAUAUAAUACUAAGUAUUGCAAUUUUGUUUUACUUUACAGUUUAACCGGCAUGGCCGUGUAAUGCACCUGGCAAUAAAUAAUAAUAACAACAAGAACAAAGACUAAUUUAUGUUCUUCGUAACAUAAAGUUAAACACGAGGCAACCAUGUCUGAAACCAAAGAUUCUUCAGGAGAAACAGAACUUGCAAUACUAAAGAGGAAGAGAGGACAAGCUAAAUCAGCUGUAACUAGGAUGAUAACAGCUGCAAAUGAAAAAAUUAGACAAAAUAAGCCAGAAGAGUUAAAGUCAGUACUGCAGAGCCUUGACCUAGCCCUAUCACAGCUUCAGGAGGCACAUAGAUGUUAUCAUACUAAGCUCAUUGAUGACAUUGACAGAGAAGAGUCUGAUGCCUAUGAGAAGCUAAUACUGAUGAGUGUACAUGAUGUGCGUCAUGAGGCCUUAGCUUGGUUGCAAGAAGAGAAAGAUGAAGCUGAUGAUCCUCCAUAUGUUAAUGAUGAGUUGGAUGUCACUACUCAAAUGAAUUUAUUCAGUGAACCUCAAACUGACAUGGAGGAUAAAAAUUCUGCCUCAGCAGAACUAGAAAGAAUCCAAACCCUUAAAAGGAAAGAGGAGGAAAACUUUGAGCUGAUGCUUAGGCUGAAAAAGGAGGAGUUUGAGCUGGAACUCCAGAGAAUGCGCCACAAGGCAGAGCUAGACGCACAGAUGCUACAUAAUCAGCAAAAGAUUCAAGCACUAACUGUAGAUCUCCAUUCUACACCUAAAUCUGCAAAAAUCCCUACUAUAACACAAUCGUCUCCGGCGCAGUUAGCAGAUGAUUCGAUCUCACAACUACUAGAGUUUUCAAGGCAGCAAUAUCAAGCCCAAGUAGACUCUCUGAGGCUCCCACCAACAGAUAUGAUAAAGUUUGAUGGUGACCCUCUCCAGUACUGGAAGUUUAUGAGGCUUUUCACUGCAAUGGUGGAUAAAGAGUCUGUUUCUGCAGAAGAAAAGCUAACUCGUCUGCACCAAUACACAGAAGGAAAGGCUCGAGAUGCUAUUAGUCACUGUCUAUACAACCCCAAUCCCAGCUUGGGUUUCAAGGAAGCGCUUGAACGACUAAAAUCUAGAUUCGGAAAUCCUCAUUCUAUUUCCCAAGCUUGGGUUGAAAAGGUUUUGAACUUUAAAGAGAUAAGAGACAAUAUGCAGCUCAGAAGCUUUGCAGACCAACUGAGAGGCUGUAAGGACACACUUGCUGCCAUGAAAUGUGAGGAUGAGCUCAGUGGCCGCCGCACAUUAGUUGAAAUAAUUAGCAAGCUACCAUCAGAUCUCAGGGCCAAGUGGUUAAACAAAAACUAUGACAUUGCUAAGGAAGGACGUCUACCGAAACUCGAUGAUGUUGUCAGCUUUGUAGAAACAGAGGCUGAAAAGAGAUCUGAUCCAGUCUUUGGUGGGUUGAUUAGCUACAAGAACCAAGAAAAGUCAAACAACUUUACAUCUCCUACCAAAGCUUUAAAGAAACCUCGUCAAAACUACCAUACCAAUGUGAAGGCUGCUGCAGUCCAGGAGAAUAAAUCUACACGUACAAAGCAGCCAUCUCAUUUAAGAUGUCUGAAAUGCUCAGAGCACCAUUUCCUAAACCAGUGCCCAAGUUUCCGAUCACUAACAGUACCUGAGCGCCUUUCAUUUGUUAAAGAAAAAAACCUGUGUCAAAACUGUUUCAUGAUGGGGCACAGUGCCCAGAUUUGCACACGCAACUGGGUGUGCAAUGUGCCCGGCUGUGGACAGAAACAUAACAAAUGGCUGCAUCCUAACCUCACUAACAGGCAGAUUACAACAGCAGACCAGGACUCCACUGAUGACAACAAAACUACCCAACAAACGCAACCUGCUACAUCACCUAAUGUCACAUGUGGGUUUGCUGGAGCUGCAAAUGGUAAAGUUUGUUUACCUAUUGUUCCUGUGGUCGUGAGGGGAAAAGCUACAAACAUUAGUUCUGUCACAUAUGCGCUACUCGAUCCUGGAGCUAACACCAGCUUAGUGUCAGAAGAACUAACCAAGAAACUCAAGGUCAGAGGUAAACCUGCAAGGUUGGACCUUGAUACAGUCGGAGGAAGCCGAGAAGGUAUAUGUACUCAAAGUGUGGAUCUGGAGAUUGAUUCUCUAUAUGAUGGCAACAUUUACACACUCAAUGGUGUGAGAACACUUAAGAAAUUAAACAUAGGGCUUAGCUGUCUCGCCACGCCUGACGAGGCAGCAAAAUGGGAUCACCUUAUGGACAUCCCUAUUCCCAGCAUUAAGUCAAAUGAUGUGCACCUUGUAAUUGGGCAAGAUGCUCCACGUCUUCUCAGAGCUGAAAAGUACCGCGUGGGUGGUGAUAAUGACCCUUAUGCCACCAGAACAGUACUUGGUUGGGCCAUAAAUGGACCUAUUGAUUACAAAGAAGGUAGGAAGUCUAAGGCCUUCUUCCUCAAGUCAGAUCAAAUUCUACAGACACAAGUGGAAAAAUUUUGGAAGCUUGAUGACCCCACUCAAGAGCACAAUCUGUCAAUUAAUGACCACAAGGUGAUCAAACUGUGGGAAAACUCACUUUCCAAAGAAGGCUCACACUAUGUGUUAGAUAUACCUUUUAAGAAAGAGACAGUGACACUGCCUAACAAUAUCAACUUAGCAACACGAAGACUACAGUUACUGGAACGGAGAUUAGUGAAAGACCCAGACCUGAAAGAGAAGUAUGUGAAGGCUAUGAAGUCAACCAUUGAUAAAGGGUAUGCAGAAGAGGUCCCAGCAUUGUCGCUUGAACGUAAUGAUGGGAAGGUUUGGUAUCUCCCACAUCACCCAGUAACUCAUCCUCGCAAGCCUGGAAAGGUGCGAGUCGUCUUUGACUGUGCAGCUAAGUACGACGGAUUAUCUCUCAAUGACACCAUCCAUCAAGGACCAGAUCUGACAAACAAAUUAAUUGAUGUGCUGAUCCGCUUCCGACAAGGGCCUGUUGCUGUAAUGGCGGACAUUGAGGGCAUGUUCAAUCAGAUACAUGUAACUCCAGAACACAGAGAUGUGCUGCGGUUCCUGUGGUGGAAAGGCCACAAUCCUAACGAUGAGGUAGUUACUUACCGUAUGACGUCCCACCUCUUUGGCGGGGUGUGGUCUCCAAGUGCAGCAAGUUUUGCAUUAAAGAGAUGUGCAUCAGAUCACGCACAUCUGUAUGAUGCAGAUACCAUAUCCACUGUGGAACGCAACUUCUACGUGGAUGACUGCUUAAAAUCUCUAGACUCACCUGAACAAGCCAUCCAUCUAGCAGCGCAGCUGGUUGACCUACUUAAGCAAGGAGGUUUUCGCUUGACAAAAUGGACAAGUAAUUCAGCCAAGGUCCUGGAGUCUAUUCCAGCAGAGGAACGUGCAGAUCAAGCACCAUCGUUAGACAUGGAUGGAGAUCCAUCAUUGGAAAGAGCUCUAGGGCUGCUCUGGGACACAAAAAAUGACAUUAUAACCUUCAUCGUCAAAGUCAAGGAAAAGCCAAGCACAAAAAGAGGCCUGCUAAGCACAAUUAGUUCAAUUUAUGACCCCUUGGGUUUUGUAGGCCCAUUCAUUUUACGUGGAAAAGCACUAUUUCAGACAUUAUGUCGCUUGAAGCUAGGUUGGGAUGAAAUCAUCCCAAGUGAUAUUGCGGAGCAAUGGGGCCGGUGGUUAGAUGACCUGCCAAAACUAUGUAGACUACAAGUGACUCGAUGUCUCAGACAUAAAGAUUUUACUGCAGCUCCAGUUACCAUGCAACUUCAUCACUUCAGUGAUGCUUCUGAGUUGGGCUAUGGUGCUGUUAGCUACCUCAGAGUUGUGAGCAACAAUGACAUCAACUGUAAUAUCGUCCUCUCUAGGAAUAGGCUGGCUCCUGUCAAACCAAGCACAAUCCCAAGGCUAGAACUGGCUGCUGCUGUAGUAGCAGUACAGCUUGAUCAAAGGAUCCGUCAAAGCUUUGAGCUACCCCUUCUGGAUUCUGUCUUCUGGACAGACAGCACUAUUGUCUUGCACUACAUCAGAAACGAAGACAAACGUUACCAAACCUUUGUUGCAAAUAGAGUUUCACAGAUCCGUGAAGUAUCACAAGUGACACAAUGGAAACAUGUUUGCACAGAACUAAACCCUGCAGAUGAUGUUUCAAGAGGAUUGUCUGCUGAAGAACUCAUAAACAGCAAGCGCUGGCUCAAAGGCCCUGCUUUCCUGUGGCAGGAAGAACAGUUAUGGCCUUGCCAGCCUGAGCUAGGAAGUUUACCUCCAGAUGCAGAGGUAAAGAAGUCGAGUCAGACAUAUGCAAUGUCUUCCAAACUCACCAAUCAGUCAGCAAUUGAUUGUUUCAUCCAGAGGUAUUCUUCCUGGUACAAACUCAAACGAGCAAUCGCGUUGAUCUUACGAGUGAAGAAUAUUCUGCGGAAGAAGACUGAGUUAAGACUGUGCUCACCAAUAACACUGAAUGAAAUGAAGCAGGGGGAAAUUGCUAUCAUCAACUAUGUCCAGCGCACCCAAGUUACAUUCCCAAAGAAAGAAGAAAGCCUCAGGAAGUUAAAUCCAGUGCGACUUGGUGAUGGGUUACUCUGCGUUGGAGGCAGGCUCACCAACGCUCCAAUACCUGAAGCAGCAAAACACCCAGCAAUCUUACCUCAAAAAAACCAUGUCAGCAAACUUGUCAUAUGGCAUUUCCACAAACUCACAGGUCAUUCUGGAGUUGAAAGGGUACUGGCUGAGAUUAGACAAUCAUUUUGGAUUAUCUCGGGCCGUGCAGCAGUGAAGCAAGUCCUAGCACAGUGUGUACCUUGCAAAAGACAAAGAGCUCCAAUCAGUACUCAAUACAUGGCAAACUUACCUGUUGAUCGUGUCACUCCAUGUCAGCCCCCUUUCACUCAUGUUGGGAUUGAUUAUUUCGGGCCCAUUAAUGUCAAAAGGGGACGGAGUGAGGUGAAGAGAUAUGGCUGUCUGUUUACCUGCCUAACAAUCAGGGCCAUUCACUUGGAGGUGGCACACAGCCUGGACACAGAGUCCUUCAUAAAUGCUCUUCAACGAUUCAUGGCUCGUCGUGGGACACCUCAAUUGAUACGCUCAGACAAUGGGACAAACUUCAUAGGUGCCCGCCAUGAAUUGCAGAAGGCUCUAAAUGAAUGGAACCAGCAAAGAAUUGAAGAGCAUCUACUCCAGCGAGAAACACAAUGGAAGUUCAAUCCUCCUGCAGCCUCACAUAUGGGGGGCGUAUGGGAGAGGCAGAUUCGUUCUGUCCGCUCCAUUCUCAUGAGCCUUGCAGGACAACAGAUUUUGGAUGAUGAAGGAUUAACGACACUUUUCUGCAUCAUUGAAAACAUUGUGAAUGGGAGAACACUAACAAAGGUUUCAGAGGACCCAAGAGACAGUCAGCCUUUAACUCCCAAUGAUUUGCUUCUGUUGAGACCAGAAUGCCCUCUGCCUCCUGGACACUUUGUAAAACAGGAUCUGUAUCGUCGCCGCUGGCGCCAAGUCCAGUAUUUGGCAGACAUUUUCUGGGUUCGGUGGGUUAAGGAGUACCUACCCAACCUCCAGCAAAGGCAGAAAUGGAACCACCAUUCCAGAAACUAUCAGAUUGGAGAUCUUGUACUGAUCCUGCAUGAAUCCACACCUCGCUGUCAAUGGCCCCUCGGUUUGGUUACAGACGUCAACAUUGGAGAUGAUGGACUGGUGCGAUCAGUGCAAGUAAAGACUCAUAGAGGGACUUACAUCCGCCCCAUACACAAGCUAUGUUUGCUAGAAGGAAAUAUGGAUGAGUAGACUUUAACUACCUUUAGCUUGUGUUAUACUAUGAAUGACUUUGACUUAAUCUCACGUUCAAGAUUACUUUAAACUGUUAGUCAUUACUCGAAGUCCAAUUAUUAUCAUAUACAAAGGUUUUUUGUGACAGGGUUGAAUCUAAUUGGUUAACAUUUGUUAUCUAAGUCUAGGUUGUCGUUCACCAAUUUUUUGUACUGGGAUGACCAUCUGUUGAGGUCAUCGGGGCCGGGAUGUUGGAUUCACUCCUCCCGUUCCACUAGGGGGCUCUAUAGUUUCCUUUGGAAGGGAUUAGUAGAAGGAACGGCAAACCGGAAGUAGCUUCCGGUGUCGUUAGCUUUACCAAGAAAGCAAAAUUCAUCAAUAAAACCUACAGAUGACCAUACCUUAAUUAUUGCCCAACGUGUUUAACCGGCAUGGCCGUGUAAUGCACCUGGCAAUAAAUAAUAAUAACAACAAGAACAAAGACUAAUUUAUGUUCUUCGUAAC